UGGGGAAUAUUGGACAAUGGGCGCAAGCCUGAUCCAGCCAUGCCGCGUGAGUGAUGAAGGCCUUAGGGUUGUAAAGCUCUUUCGCGCGCGACGAUAAUGACGGUAGCGCGAGAAGAAGCCCCGGCUAACUUCGUGCCAGCAGCCGCGGUAAUACGAAGGGGGCUAGCGUUGUUCGGAAUCACUGGGCGUAAAGCGCAUGCAGGCGGAUCGUUAAGUCGGGGGUGAAAUCCCGAGGCUCAACCUCGGAACUGCCUUCGAUACUGGCGAUCUUGAGUCCGGGAGAGGUGAGUGGAACUGCGAGUGUAGAGGUGAAAUUCGUAGAUAUUCGCAAGAACACCAGUGGCGAAGGCGGCUCACUGGCCCGGUACUGACGCUCAGGUGCGAAAGCGUGGGGAGCAAACA
rnacentral:rRNA from 1 species